GACUCGCAUUGGUGUGUGUGUGUGUGUGUGUGUGUGUGUGUGUGUGAAAGCUCUGAGGGCCUCAAACGUUCCCAACACCAACGUUCCCACAC
rnacentral:miRNA from 1 species